GCUUACAUGAGUAAUUCUCUGUAAAGUGCCACAGAGACGAGCUUUAUAGAAAUAUAGAGAGUGAAACGAGGCAAACCC
rnacentral:RNase_P_RNA from 1 species